rnacentral:rRNA from 1 species
GAGAGUUUUAUCCUGGCUCAGAACGAACGCUGGCGGUAUGCUUAACACAUGCAAGUCGAACGAGAAAGCUUCUUCGGAAGUGAUUAAAGUGGCGCACGGGUGAGUAACGCGUAGAUAAUCUACCCUCUAGUCCGGGACAACUUCUCGAAAGGGGAGCUAAUACCAGAUAAUACUAGGGAUCGAGUGGUUCUUAGUUGAAAGGUUUACUGCUAGGGGAUGAGUCUGCGUACCAUUAGCUUGUUGGUAGGGUAAUGGCCUACCAAGGCGACGAUGGUUAGCGGGUCUGAGAGGAUGAUCCGCCACACUGGAACUGAGACACGGUCCAGACUCCUACGGGAGGCAGCAGUGGGGAAUUUUGCGCAAUGGACGAAAGUCUGACGCAGCAAUACCGCGUGAGUGAAGAAGGCCCUUGGGUCGUAAAGCUCUUUUCUAGGGGAAGAUAGUGACGGUACCCUAGGAAUAAGCCACCGGCUAACUACGUGCCAGCAGCCGCGGUAAUACGUAGGGUGCGAGCGUUGUUCGGAAUUACUGGGCGUAAAGGGUGUGUAGGCGGAUCGGUCAGCUAGAGGUGAAAGCCCGGAGCUCAACUCCGGAACUGCUUUUAGAACUGCCGGUCUAGAGAGGGUCAGAGGUCAGCGGAAUUCCUGGUGUAGAGGUGAAAUUCGUAGAUAUCUGGAGGAACACCGGCGGCGAAAGCGGUUCACUGGGGCUCAACUGACGCUGAGGCGCGAAAGCGUGGGGAGCAAACAGGAUUAGAUACCCUGGUAGUCCACGCUGUAAACGAUGAAUACUGUAGUUGUCUGGGGAAUCGACCCCCUGGGUGACGCAGAUAACGCAUUAAGUAUUCCGCCUGGGGAGUACGGUCGCAAGACUAAAACUCAAAGGAAUUGACGGGGGCCCGCACAAGCGGUGGAGCAUGUGGUUUAAUUCGACGCAACGCGAAGAACCUUACCUGGGUUUGACAUCCCCUGACCGCUGUGGAGACACAGUUUUCUCUUCGGAGACAGGGUGACAGGUGCUGCAUGGCUGUCGUCAGCUCGUGUCGUGAGAUGUUGGGUUAAGUCCCGCAACGAGCGCAACCCUUGUCCUUAGUUCCAGCGCGUAUAAUGGCGGGAACUCUAAGGAGACUGCCGGUGUUAAGCCGGAGGAAGGUGGGGAUGACGUCAAGUCCUCAUGGCCUUUAUAUCCAGGGCUACACACGUGCUACAAUGGUGACUACAAAGAGUCGCGAAGCCGCGAGGUGGAGCUAAUCUCAAAAAAGUCAUCUCAGUUCGGAUUGCAGUCUGCAACUCGGCUGCAUGAAGUUGGAAUCGCUAGUAAUCGUAGAUCAGCGUGCUACGGUGAAUACGUUCCCGGGCCUUGUACACACCGCCCGUCACACCAUGGGAGUUGACAUUAGCAGAAUACAUUGAGCUAACUUUCGGGAAGCGAGACGUCCCAAGCUCUUAUUGAUCACUAGGGUGAAGUCGUAACAAGGUA